rnacentral:rRNA from 1 species
GAGUUUGAUCUUGGCUCAGAUUGAACGCUGGCGGCAUGCCUUACACAUGCAAGUCGAACGGCAGCACGGGAGCUUGCUCCUGGUGGCGAGUGGCGAACGGGUGAGUAAUGCAUCGGAACGUAUCCUGGAGUGGGGGAUAACGUAGCGAAAGUUACGCUAAUACCGCAUAUUCUGUGAGCAGGAAAGCGGGGGACCUUCGGGCCUCGCGCUCUUGGAGCGGCCGAUGUCGGAUUAGCUAGUUGGUGAGGUAAAGGCUCACCAAGGCGACGAUCCGUAGCAGGUCUGAGAGGAUGAUCUGCCACACUGGAACUGAGACACGGUCCAGACUCCUACGGGAGGCAGCAGUGGGAAUUUUGGACAAUGGGGGCAACCCUGAUCCAGCCAUGCCGCGUGAGUGAAGAAGGCCUCGGUUGUAAGU